rnacentral:rRNA from 1 species
CAGUCGCCGCGGGAAUACGAAGGGGGCUAGCGUUGUUCGGAUUUACUGGGCGUAAAGCGCACGUAGGCGGAUCGAUCAGUCAGGGGUGAAAUCCCAGAGCUCAACUCUGGAACUGCCUUUGAUACUGUCGAUCUGGAGUAUGGAAGAGGUGAGUGGAAUUCCGAGUGUAGAGGUGAAAUGCGUAGAUAUUCGGAAGAACACCAGUGGCGAAGGCGGCUCACUGGACUGGUAUUGACGCUGAGGUGCGAAAGCGUGGGGAGCAAACAGGAUUAGAUACCCCUGUAGUCCCUGUCUCUUAUAC